rnacentral:tRNA from 1 species
CAGGGAGACAACAAAAUGUUUAAUAUUAUUAUUUUGUCACCUUAGGUCGAUCGGUAUCUCACGUUUUUAAUUUAUUAAGAAUUUCAUUUCCUAAGUUUUUCUAGGUCACACCCAUUAUUUUCCUGGGCCAUUAGCUCAGGUGGUUAGAGCGCACCCCUGAUAAGGGUGAGGUCCCUGGUUCAAGUCCAGGAUGGCCCAUAUCUCUAUGUUGGGGGUAUAGCUCAGUUGGUAGAGCGCCUGCUUUGCAAGCAGGAUGUCAGCGGUUCGAGUCCGCUUACCUCCACUGAUUACCACCUCUUCCAUAAUCUGUAGAAAGGAAAAUUUUUUGAGUUGUGAUCAUUAUUCUGAACGAAUCUAGCUUCCUAAUGAAAUUAUUAAGAUGCUGGACUCAUUGAAUUAAUUUCAUUGUUUUCAGAGAACCUUGACAACUGCAUAGAUUAUUUUAAAGACAAUAAGCAUCUUUAAUGAUGCAGAUUUAUUAUUUUUGCAAAUGCAUUAAUAACAAUUCUAUUAAGCUGAUGCUUCAAUUAUGAAGUUAUU